GAUGAACGCUAGCUACAGGCUUAACACAUGCAAGUCGAGGGGAAACGACAUCGAAAGCUUGCUUUCGAUGGGCGUCGACCGGCGCACGGGUGAGUAACGCGUAUCCAACCUGCCCACCACUUGGGGACAACCUUGCGAAAGUAAGACUAAUACCCAAUGAUAUCUCUAGAAGACAUCUGAAAGAGAUUAAAGAUUUAUCGGUGAUGGAUGGGGAUGCGUCUGAUUAGCUUGUUGGCGGGGUAACGGCCCACCAAGGCUACGAUCAGUAGGGGUUCUGAGAGGUAGGUCCCCCACAUUGGAACUGAGACACGGUCCAAACUCCUACGGGAGGCAGCAGUGAGGAAUAUUGGUCAAUGGACGAGAGUCUGAACCAGCCAAGUAGCGUGCAGGAUGACGGCCCUAUGGGUUGUAAACUGCUUUUAUAAGGGAAUAAAGUGAGUCUCGUGAGACUUUUUGCAUGUACCUUAUGAAUAAGGACCGGCUAAUUCCGUGCCAGCCGCCGCCGUAA
rnacentral:rRNA from 1 species